UGCUUCCAUAGUUUAAUGGAUAGAACAAUCCCCUCCUAAGGGAUAGAUGUGGGUUCGAUUCCCGCUGGGAGUACCAA
rnacentral:tRNA from 2 species